rnacentral:rRNA from 1 species
CCCGGUGAUGAUGGCAGUGGGGUAACACCUCUUUCCAUUCCGAACAGAGAAGUUAAGACCACUUACGCCGAAAAUACUUAGAGAAAUUCUUGGGAAGAUAGGGCGUCGCCGGGG